UCUUUCCCAUUUGUGUAACGGAUUAAUGAGCUCAGAGGAAAUUUCCUAUCUGUAAAGCCUUGAUUGUGCCUUUGGGAGCUACUUUCUAUGGUGACCCUUGCCAAAUAAAGUAACUAUUUUGAGGAUCUUUUCAUAUGCCCUAUUUGUGUCCUGAAUGCAGGAAGAAUAGUGGAUGGAACAGUAAAAAGAGGAAUAAUUGCAAGUUGAAUAAAGACCAUCAGCAAAUGUGCUUAUAUCAUUGUUG